GUAAGGGCGGAACUGAAAAAGUGACGGAGAUUGGUUCCGCCCGGACCAUAAUUCUCAAACAUCGGUUACUUCCGGGAACUCCGGGAAAGGAAAUCAGGGUUUCAUGGAUCGCAGGUGGAUAGAUGAGCGGGGCGAUCGCGGAUUGGGCAGUGUGAAGAGAAGGAGGAGUAUAAAGAGGGCCUCAGAAACUGCAGAGGGGGAGUUUUUAUUCUAGCCAAUACGGCGAGUGAGUUGGAGUGUUUGGGCGAGUGCAGCGGAAAGAAGGCGGAGGAUAUUGUUGGCUGGGCGAAGAUGGAGACAAGGGUUUGGCAGAAACAGAAACCGGGCUGAGUAUAUUGGGAUGUCUACCUAACUGUGAAAUGCUCUAUGGACAUGUGUAACAAAUUCUGAGUGGUUAAAAACAGGAAGACUCACUGGAAGUAUCGCCGAAGGAGGCCCUUUCGACAGGUCACGUGGGAGCAGGAGAAGUAUCCAGGAGCUGGAAAGAAGAGGGAAAAGAGACCUCGUGUUAGUAACGGUGUGGGUACCCUAAACCAUCGUACAGCAGCAUAAUCAUCUAGAGUGAACUAUCUGUGAGCCUUUUUGUGAGUUUGUGGCAUAGUAUGUGAGCAGCCCCACCGUGGAGGAGGAUUGUGGGUGAGCCGGGACCAGUGAGCGAGAGAAGACGUUGUGGUGUCGUGGCGGCGACGUUUAAAUCUGAAUAUUCGUUGCAUCAGUGUCUCCAUGAUUUCCAGGACGAGUCUUUGGUCAGACGGGGUUUUGACCCUAAAUUCACCAAGAGCCCGACGAAAUCCUGGAAGGAAGUGAGUACUGAGGCGGGCGAAGAAAACAUCUCCAAUUAUAUGCCGUCGAUGACAUCCUGACCCUUCUUCCCCACGUGACGGUGGCGGGAAACAAUUUCAAGUAAGAACAGUGUGGAUAUAGUGGGAAGUAUUAAUGGUGAGGAGUUGGCUGCUGUAGGAGGAAAUCAGCGGUGCGUGUAUUAUUACCUGCUGUGGAGUUCUUCAAAGGUUCGCCCCUGUCUAGAUCUCUUGCCCUGUCGGUUGGAAGAAAGAAGAGGGAAGCGUUCGACCCAUUCAGUGUAGCACACCCCGGGUGAAACAACUUACCUGUGUGUGACACCAGUGGAGGCCGUGUUCGGCCCAACGCAGCAGCAGCUUUCGAUCCGCAUCUCUAUCAGCAGUUGGUUGAAGCCUCAGAAAAGGAAUGCCUGACGUCUAUUUCCUCAAAGGUCUGUGAGUUACAUCACUUCCUGUUUCCCUGUAUAUUCACCGUAAGCUAUUGCCCAAAGCUAAAGCCAGCAUAUUGUGUUGUACACUUGCCUGUAUGCCCAGAGUGAAGUCCCAGUUGUCUUUCCUACAGACUUACCUGUGCCCCGAGUGAAGAGCCAGCGGCCCCUCUGUCCACUGUCCGUGUCCAGUCCUGUUAUACUUACCUGUAUGUUCUUGUGCAGAUCUAGCGGGUCCCUUUGAAGCGUCUACCUGCACGUUGACCCGUCACUCAGGAUACAGAAACCGCGGAAACCCCCCCCCGUACACUUACCAGUAUGGUUUCAGUUGGAUCCCGGCAGCCAUUGUGCAGCUCCACCAGCAUCUGGACGACCGGGAGUCCAACCCGCUGGGCCGCCUCGGAGUUCGCCAUGAGUAGCAGCAGGUAUCCAUCGUGCAUUCAAACUCUCAAUACGUACCACUUAUAUCUGUUACGUCCAGGAAAGGAGAGGGCCCUGGACAGUCGUCCUGCAAGCCAGAACAAAGGGGCACUUGUGAAUAAGCUGAUUGUCGUCACAUAGCCAGAAGGAAAGAGGAGUGAAGGACUCACCUGAGAUCUCCCACGACGGAGUCUAAGAGACUCGGACUCACCUGAGAUCUCCCGCGAUGGAGUCUAAGAGACUCGAGACUGUUACUCUCCAAUUGGAGAGUUGGAUUUUAGCCUCCCUUCCCC
ensembl:lncRNA